rnacentral:rRNA from 1 species
GGAGACACACGGCGGGUGCUAACGUCCGUCGUGAAGAGGGAAACAACCCAGACCGCCAGCUAAGGUCCCAAAGUCAUGGUUAAGUGGGAAACGAUGUGGGAAGGCCAGACAGCCAGGAUGUUGGCUUAGAAGCAGCCAUCAUUUAAAGAAAGCGUAAUAGCUCACUGGUCGAGUCGGCCUGCGCGGAAGAUGUAACGGGGCUAAACCAUGCACCGAAGCUGCGGCAGCGACGCUUAUGCGUUGUUGGGUAGGGGAGCGUUCUGUAAGCCUGCGAAGGUGUGCUGUGAGGCAUGCUGGAGGUAUCAGAAGUGCGAAUGCUGACAUAAGUAACGAUAAAGCGGGUGAAAAGCCCGCUCGCCGGAAGACCAAGGGUUCCUGUCCAACGUUAAUCGGGGCAGGGUGAGUCGACCCCUAAGGCGAGGCCGAAAGGCGUAGUCGAUGGGAAACAGGUUAAUAUUCCUGUACUUGGUGUUACUGCGAAGGGGACGGAGAAGGCUAUGU